UUUUCUCAGUAAUUGACAGAACAAAUAGAUAGAAAAUCAACAAGGAUAUAAAAGAAUUGAACAACAUCAUUAAACAAUUGGGUCUAAUUGAUAUGUAUACAACAUUCCAUCCAGCAACAGCAAAAUACACAUUCUUUUCAAGUGCAUGUGAAACGUUCACCAAGAGGGACAAUAUUCUGGGUAAUAAAACAAACCUUAACAAAUUUGAGAGAAUUAAACUUGACAAGUAUUAAUAUACUGCUAAAUAAUGUAUGGGUCAAAGAAGACGUUCCAAAAAAAUUAGAAAAUAUUGUGCAGUGAAUGAAAAUGAAGAAAAAUAUAUCAAAAUUUGUGGGCUAGAGCUAAAGCUGUGGUUAGAGGAAAAUUCUUAGCAUUAAAUGCUUAUAUUAGAAAAGAAAGUCUUAAUAAUAAUCCAUGCUUCCACUUUAACAAACUUAAUAAAAUCAAUGAACUAAGAGUUGGUUCUUUGAAAAAAUCAGUAAAAUUUAUAAAUGUCUAAAAAGACUGACAAGGAAAAAAAAAGAGAAUGAAUACAGAAGAGGAGGGAAUACUUCCCAACUCGUUUAUCCUGAUACUGAAACCAAAGACAGUACAAGAUAAAAACACUGCAGACUAACAUUCCUCACGAACAUAUGAUAUGGUUUGGCUAUGUCCCCACCCACAUCUCAUCUUGAAUUGUAGUUCCCGUAAUCCUCAUGUGUCCUGGGAGGGACCCUGUGGGAGGUAAUUGAAUUAUGGGGGUGGUUAACCCCAUGCUGCUGUUCUCAUGAUAGUGAGUGAGUUCUCAUGAGAUCUGAUGGUUUAAUAAGUUGCUUUUCCCCCUUUUGCUUGUCACUUCUUCCUGCCAUCAUGUGUUUGCUUCCCCUUCCACCAUGAUUAAAAGUUUCCUGAGGCCUCUCCAGCCAUGCGGAACUGUGAGUUA
rnacentral:lncRNA from 1 species